UCUUUGAUGGUCUAAUGGUCAUGAUUUCCGCUUGUCAUCCAUCUGGCUUUGCGCGGGAGAUCGGGGUUCGAUUCCCCGUCAGAGAG
rnacentral:tRNA from 1 species